CCAGGGCUGGCAGGAAGAGCCUUUGGACCUAAACUUUUUAAACAAGAGAUGCUCAAGGUGCACCUGCCCCUCAAAACUGGAAAUCCUGCUGGAAGGGGAUGUAGAGCUCACACCUGCUUCACACUUUGUUCAGAGGACAAUAAAGAAACUAAUUAUGUUUGGAAAGUCACUAGUUAUUUAUAGCACGGCAUCAAAUUUGUUGCCAGGAGAGCUUCAAGCAGGACAACAUCUUCUACUUCACACCUGAGAAACCAAGGAACUAAUUGCUUCAAGACAGCAAAGAAUUCCAGAGUAACUAUUCCAGACUUGACAACGCUGGUGGGAAUAAAUCCUCAGUGAAUGUGGCUUCAAAAAGCACCCUGUGCCCUCUCUUCCUCUGUCAGCUCGCUAAAAUAAGACUUAAGAGGAAAUCUGCCAAGACACCAAAGAAAAAGGCCACCUCUUCUGCUAAGGGAACUAAGGCAAGCAACAAUAACCCUCAGCAAAAGCACAAAGAUAAAGAUUAAGUAAUUACCAGCGGUAUGGCAGCAAUGGGAGGACAGUGGUUUCUGGAAUAUGGAAUUAUGCCAGAAAAGCUCUGGGAUCCAGUUCCCAAGCAGAGGGAGUGGAAGCUCACUGCUGCCUCAUUUCACAGCAAUGACAUCAGCCCUGAGCUCCCUGGAAAUCUGAAGCCUCUCUCCAGGAGGAUGGAUUGGUGCUGAGCUCGGAGUGGUCACGGGGCUCUGAGCACAUCAGGUGAUUCACACACAAAAGGGAUUUCAGUCUGCCUCCAGCACCCAGAGGAAGCACCAGCAGCUCUUUAUUUCUACAUCAGA